rnacentral:rRNA from 1 species
UACGUAGGGUGCAAGCGUUGUCCGGAAUUAUUGGGCGUAAAGAGCUCGUAGGCGGUUUGUCGCGUCGAAUGUGAAACCCGGGGCUCAACCCCGGGCCUGCAUUCGAUACGGGCAGACUAGAGUUCGGUGAGGGGAGACUGGAAUUCCUGGUGUAGCGGUGAAAUGCGCAGAUAUCAGGAGGAACACCGGUGGCGAAGGCGGAUCUCUGGGCCAUAACUGACGCUGAGGAGCGAAAGCAUGGGGAGCGAACAGGG